rnacentral:lncRNA from 1 species
ACAAAACAACGUUCCUCCAGGACACAGGUGCUGUGUCCAAAUCUAAUUAUUACUCUUCGAUUCAGAUUCAAAGCAAGAAUAAAUUAAUUCAUACUUUUAAUACCUGCCUAUACAGUACCUCUCGUCUCCAGCAGAAAUUAGCUCCGCCCACUUGCGCGUAGCCACUCUGAAUCGAACGCACCUCUCCAAUAUGGCGGACCAAUUACGCUAGCUACCUAGCUGGCACAUUUGCUUUAGUUGCUCCUUCCUUGUUGCAGUCGGAGGAAACAAAACCCCAUCAACCCAGAGCCACUAGUUUCCAGGGGACGUGUUUGCAGCUUGAAUUCCUCUCUCCAGCAGAGUUUUUUUUGCUACUACUUCGUUUCAUCAAGGUUGGAGGAAAGAGUCUCCAAGGUGACACAGCUUGGUGUCAAUAGGAGAAGGUCGCACGGCUUUAGAAGGCUCCAUGGUUUCAGGACAACAGAGAGGAACCUUACAGUGACCCAUGGAGACCACUCCUCGAUCGAACCCACCGGCUGCUCCCCUCCUAUGGAAAAACCAGCAAUGCCACACAGGCACAGGCAGCUCGACAAGGAGGCAUUGUCUGCCUGUAGAAACGCAGCGGCAACCCCUGUGGAGAAACAUGCUCCGACCAAUGAGCUGAUAAGUGAUUUGAACUGUGUCGUUUGUUAGUUUUUGCUGCAGUGUGCACGGCUUCCCUUCGCUGCUCCAGGCGGGGUUAAGGGGGAAGCGGCCUACUGUAAUUCAACAAAUGUGUAUUAGCACAUACAACAUUGGUAGAACGUGUGACUGGUUUGCUUUGAAAAUGUGAUUUAAUCAUCAAACUAACUAUUUCUAAGCUGUAGUGAUGGUAGAUGCUUCCUGUGGCUGUGGAGUAGCUCAGCUUCCAGGAGGGUGUUAGGCCGUUCUGUCUACUUUGUAUUUUAUUAGCUAUUCUGAGUAGAUUUAUUUAAAUACUGAACAUUUCUGUCAUCUUGCGUCACCGGCUUCAUCUUGCAACAGCUACUGUGGUAUUAUACUGUCGGAAAUACUGAAACUGUUUUUUUCUCUCUGCAACGGGAAUCAGUCUAGUUCCUGAGAAUGUAAAGCAGCCCCAAAGCAUGACACUCCCUCCACCAAACCUCACGGGGUGUUGUUGCUAAAGGCACAGGGUUUGGUCAUUGUACAGGGACUAUACUGACAUCUGCUGAUACUGAUCAGUUGGAAUGAGGCUUCUGACAUGUGGUUGGCCGUCAAUGGCUUCCAAGUUCACUCAAUUGAAAUAAAACACCAGUCUUUCUUGUCCA